UUAAGGCACGUGGGGUGAAACCCUGAAGCAAGGUGAUCAAGUUUUCUCUCUUGUCCAUGGGAAAAAAGUAAGACCAAGAUCACAAAGGAGGACGAGGGUGAAGCCGGUGUCUCGUUGAGCUUUGCGACAGGAGUGUGCUACUAGGAGCCAGUCGUCAAUAUACGGAAAGAUGAGAAUGUUUUGAAGUCUGAGAAGCAGAAUGAACUAUGAGGUUCUCAACACGGCGGUUGAAAGAAACCAAAAGGGGACACUUGGUGCCAAGGUAUACAGGAGGGAGUGGCUUAUUCUAAAGUGUUUGUUGCUACCACAGAAGCUCUAGAAUCUCCCGAUGAAGCUCCGCGCAAGCACUAAUCACCCAGGGUGUGGUUCACAGAGACCACGACGAAGAACUUGCCCUUUGUCUCAUGCAGCAAAAUGUCUCUGGUCAACACCAAAGAG